UGAGCCACCACACCUGGUUGCAGGGCUCUGUUAUGUAGGGCGCUAAGGAAUAAUUAUUCUGACAUUUGUUAAAAUGGUGAGAAAGACUUUACUUAAGGUCAUUGCAAAAGAGGUAUUGCAAUAGGGAAGAGAGAUUAUGUUCAACUCCAAAUACAAUAAGAAGAAGUGGAGAUUUAUAGCCAACGAGAAGUGGAAGGGAGUCAGUGGAUUACUAAGAAGAAACAGCAAGAAUAGGGGGAUUCUUGCUAAGACAGUCCAAGGAGCUACAUAUCAAAGCUGAGAGAUGAGGGACUUGGUUAGAUGUCAGCAAUGAUCAAAUAUCAACAUUGAUCAAGGGGAGGGCAGAUUAUUGCUUAACUGACUUAAUAGGGUUCUUGCUAAGUCUAGGCCCUGUAAGUCCGGCAAGAACAAAACAGACACUGAAGACCAAGGUCAAGGGCUUCUCGAAAAGGGUGCACAGAGAAAUAUAACCAAUGUUUGGUCAAGUAGAGAGUUUUUUUCAAGGGUCACGGUUGACCUUGACCUUAUGCCAUGAAGUUGGUCCCAUUGCCCACUGCAUACUUCAUUGUCCUUUCAACUAUCUUUUACCUUCAAGGAUGGUCAAGCUGUGCAAGCUUUGGGACUGGAGGGGAACAUGACAAUAGCAGGCGUGGGCAGGAGAGGGAGGUGUCUUGCAAAGCACUAAAAGUGACAGCAGACAAGAAACACUGCAUUAGGGUGGAAUACCUUUCAGGGCCUAAGACAAGAAGAAACAAUAGGAAGGUUUGGAGACAACAGGUGCAGUUGCAGGACUGGAGAGCAGAGUGGUCUUGAUGGGGUUUGGAUCCUUUUGCUCUCACCACAAAGAUGGCACAGUCUUUAUGUCUUUGAAGACUCCUUAAAAUUAUUUUAUGUCUGACUCCCCUGAUGAAAGUUGGAUGCUUCUAUUGUCACCACAAAGAUAUUAAAGGCUUUAUAAGUCUU